rnacentral:rRNA from 1 species
GAUGAACGCUGACAGAGUGCUUAACACAUGCAAGUCUUUGGCGAAGCUGUGCUUGCACAGCCUAGCCAAGGCGGACGGGUGAGUAACGCGUAAGGAACUUGCCCUGCAGUCAGGGAUAACAGACGGAAACGACUGAUAAGACCUGGUAAAGUCAGGCGGACUCAUGUCCAGCCUGAUGAAAAGAGAUGCUGCAGGAGAGCCUUGCGUCCUAUUAGCUUGUUGGUGGGGUAACGGCCCACCAAGGCGAUGAUAGGUAGCCGGCCUGAGAGGGUGGACGGCCACAAGGGGACUGAGAUACGGCCCUUACUCCUACGGGAGGCAGCAGUGGGGAAUAUUGGACAAUGGGGGCAACCCUGAUCCAGCAAUUCUGUGUGCACGAUGAAGGUUUUCGGAUUGUAAAGUGCUUUCAGCAGGGAAGAAAAAAAUGACGGUACCUGCAGAAGAAGCGACGGCUAAAUACG